AACGCUAGCUACAGGCUUAACACAUGCAAGUCGAGGGGAAACGACAUUGAAAGCUUGCUUUUGAUGGGCGUCGACCGGCGCACGGGUGAGUAACGCGUAUCCAACCUGCCCACCACUUGGGGAUAACCUUGCGAAAGUAAGACUAAUACCCAAUGACGUCUCUAGAAGGCAUCUGAAGGAGAUUAAAGAUUUAUCGGUGAUGGAUGGGGAUGCGUCUGAUUAGCUUGUUGGCGGGGUAACGGCCCACCAAGGCGACGAUCAGUAGGGGUUCUGAGAGGAAGGUCCCCCACAUUGGAACUGAGACACGGUCCAAACUCCUACGGGAGGCAGCAGUGAGGAAUAUUGGUCAAUGGGCGAGAGCCUGAACCAGCCAAGUAGCGUGCAGGAUGACGGCCCUAUGGGUUGUAAACUGCUUUUAUAAGGGAAUAAAGUGAGUCUCGUGAGACUUUUUGCAUGUACCUUAUGAAUAAGGACCGGCUAAUUCCGUGCCAGCAGCCGCGGUAAUACGGAAGGUUCGGGCGUUAUCCGGAUUUAUUGGGUUUAAAGGGAGCGUAGGCCGGAGAUUAAGCGUGUUGUGAAAUGUAGACGCUCAACGUCUGCACUGCAGCGCGAACUGGUUUCCUUGAGUACGCACAAAGUGGGCGGAAUUCGUGGUGUAGCGGUGAAAUGCUUAGAUAUCACGAAGAACUCCGAUUG
rnacentral:rRNA from 1 species